UGCUCAGCUUGGCCAUGUGGUCCCUAGUGUGGUCACUGCCUGGAGCCCCAGACUGGAACAGUCCGGUUAGCCUGGUUUAGCUCGGGUCAGAUUUUGGAGGAGUCUCUGAGCCCAGACUUAUGUUCAGAGGCUUUCUGGUGAACCUCCCCAUCAGGAAGUAGGGUCCCGGGUCCCUUGCUGGGAGACUCAGGCGGCGUGGAGAGGAGGAGAGUCAGCCUGGAGCCUCUUCCUUCCCACCUGGGGUGGCUGGCCUUGCUGGAGGCCCGGCUCCGGGAACUGUGUCAUCUGAAUCAAGGUGACCCCUAGUGACCUUCCUGUCUUCUGAGCUGCAUAGACACAGAGCACAUGCUUCCUCUUCCACAGAACAAGGGUCACCAGCAGAAGUGGGCACAGCGCUGACGAGACCGGGGUCAGGAUCCCAGAGAAGUUCUUCUCUUCCAGAGGAGCGCUGCAGAGAAGCCGCAGGAGUGGGCGCCAGAAACGCACGAGAGAGCGGGGCCUGGAGCGCCCCGGGAGCCGAGGCCCUGGGGCCUCACCCCUCAUUUUACAGAGGCCACAUGGAGGCCUGGGCCAGUCGGCCGCCCUUGUUCCACAGCUGGUGGGUUAGUCACUGACCUGGGACGCGGUCCCCUGCCUCCCGGGUCCCAAGUCCUCAGUCCUGUCCCUCCCUGACCACCUGUGUGGGGUCCCUGCCAACGGGCUGCAGGGGCCAAGAGAACUGAGUCAGGCUCAGGGAAUCCACGCUAGGCAUUUGGCUCUGCCGCAAAGUCUCUCUUUGUGGCUUCGGUGAGUCACCCCGCCACCCCACCUCGCCACCCGCUGGAGCUUUCUUUCCUUAUCUGUAAGAAACAAGAAGUCCCAACAGUCCCACCUAAAUUUUCUAAAUAUUCUGUUGCUUAGAUGUUUGCUCAGUCUCGUGAAGAUGCUCAGAUGGCGUUCUCCCAGCGAGGACCCUUGGAAGGAAGCAGGAUUCUGACCCCCGUGACCCUUGCCCUUGACUGGCCUGAGGCUACAAGGGGGAGGAGGAGAGUGAGCAGACGCGGGGCACGUGAAGGUACCAUCUCUACGUGGGUUGGCUCUGAGGUCCACACAGCCACAGCCGGGAUGGUCCCUUCAAUGGAGCCCAGGCUCUGUGGCUCAGAAGCCGAUGUCUCCUCCUGGAGGGUUUCCCACAUCCAUCUUUCUGAGGCCAGG